CUUCAGCAGCAGGAAGAUAGGCACUGCCCAUGUGCCUUGCUUAGCUUCAGUUGCCAGGCUCUGCUUCCUAAACAAAGGCUGCUUUUUCCCUGCCUUUCCACACACCCUGAUGCAACAAAAUUCAACAUGCUCUUCCCAGCCACUCGCUUGUCCUCAUAAGCUGCUCAUGUGAGUGCUAGGUGUAGACAUUUCCCCUGUAGACCAUAGGGAUCCUGCUGGCCUAAAUCCAACUGAGAGAAGAGGCAGUUCUAGAGACUGAGAACAGAGAGACACAGGGUGUCUCAUGCCUCUGCUGGACUCGGACCCGAAGAGCUGCAGAACAUAGAACAUUUGGAAUGCCUAUGCUAGAGAAGGUGGACUGAGGCACCUAAUUCUUCACCUCUCAGCAUCACCAGGCCUUGCUGGAAUGGCCACCUCUGCUGAUUGUGGGACCACCCUUUAUGCAAAAUGUCAAGGAAGGACAAGGAGAAGACCUCAGUAAGGUUGGAGGGUCACGGGAGGAGGCCUGAAUUCCUGGAAGCCAACCCACCUCCCACAUGGUCAGCUAUGAUGAAGGAUACAAUUUUCAAGGGUCCUGAGGGGUGGGAGGCCUAACUGAAAAGGGGCCAAGUCUCCACUUACAGAAUGGAAGCCAGAUCGGAGGUUUGGUGGUUCUGUCCUGAAAAGGAAUAACAUGGAGCGAUUUCCCAUCACCUGCCCUGAGGACGUGGCUACAGUGGCCACAUGGUGUUCAGAGACUGAGUCAGUGAGACCAGACCAGAUGGUGAGGAAGUUACCUGGAACCCCACCACCACCACCAAAUGGCGGGGAGGGGGGGAUGUCUGGCCAAAAAAGAAACGCCCCAUCCUGAGACAACACCCCCAAUCCAUGGAGUGCUGCUUUCUCCAAAGAAGCUACUUAGCCCCGAAAAUACUCUUGGUCAUGCAGGAUAGGAGACAAGCUGAACUUGGCUUGUUGGAGAAAGCAGGGAGGUAUGCUGGUUAACUCAUCAACUUGAUACAAACUAGAGUCACCUUGGAAGAGGGAACUUGAAGUGAGGAACUGCCUCCACCAGACUGCCCUGUAGGCAUGUCUGUGGGGUGUAUUCGUCAUUAAUGAUUGAUGUGGGAGGACCAAGCCUGCUGUGGGCUGCAAGCUAAGACACGUAUGUUGUACAGGUUCAUAGGACAGGUCUGAGCUGAACUGUGUGUUCUUUCUGUUUUUAUGUUUUGUAUGGGUGUUAUGUUGUCUGUGUCCCAUGGAGGCAAGAAGGUGUCAGAUUCCUGACACUGGAGUUUUGAUGUGCCAUGUAGGUGCUGAAGAUCAAACCUGAGGAUCCAACCAAUGAACAUCCUUAACUCCUGAGACAUCCUGCCCCCUGGAUGUGUUCUUAAUAACACUUUUUACAUCCCUAAGCCUGGCCGCCUCUCUAGGUGAAUAGACAUCAGGACACAUCAAUCAGGCAAACAGGAGCAACCCUUGUUCCUCAGCAGCUCUUAGUUUCCUAUAAUUUGUGUUAAACCAUCAUGACCAAAAGAUACUCAGGAGGAAAGGAUUUAUUUGGCCUUAUUUGGGAAACCAAGGCAGGAAUCUGGAGACAGGAACUUUAACAGAGAUGAUGGAGGAACUCUGCCCACUGGCUUUGAUCCUUAUGGCUUGCUCAGUUGGCUUUCUUAUACACCCCAGGCCUCCAGCCUAGGAGUGGCACCGCUCACAGUGGGCUGGACCCUCCCACAGCAAUCAUUAAUCCAGAAAACACCAUCUGAUGGAGGCAUUUUCUCAGUUGAGGUUCCUUUUCUCAGAUGCCCCCACCUGUAUUAAACUGAUAAAAACCUAAGCAGCACCACAGAUAUGUGAGAGGCCGGGACCUCUCACCUACUGGCCAGCACCCUCUGUCCCGCCUCUUUUGAUUUUUACUUUGAGACAGGGUAUCACAAAAAUUACUCAUGUGGCCCUUGAACUUGUGAGCUUCCUCUCUCAGUCUACCAAGUAGGUGGGAAGCCAGGCUUAUGUCUUCUUUGGGGCAGGAUAACCCUGAGCUUCCGGGCCCACAGUCAGUCCCCAUACUUUAGGCAGGGAUAUGAAAAGCCUGGUGUAUUGCAACCCUCUUCUGGCCACCAUUACCAAGGCAGGGAUGAGCACUUGACACAGGCCAGACCAUGCUUCAGUUCCAAAGCCAUUGCCUUGAACUAUGGGAAAGGGAAAGUGAUUGUCACAGAUGCUGGCAAAUGAACAGAUGAGUCUGCCUACUGGCAGCUGCUCACAGACCUCACUGGGUGUUUGCUUCUUGGCCCCUCAUUCGGAAGGCUGGUGUGAAAAGUGAGACUGCGGGCCUCCCAGGGCUCAGCCACAGAACGUGCAUUGUGAGUCUGGGUGCCUUCUAGAUGGAAAACCUGAUGCUCUGAGAAGUGGCCGGUGGGUUCAGAGCCAGAUCCCUGAGGUAGCCACACCUGCCGAGGGGCUGGGUGAAGAAUCUUGAAGCAGGAAGCAGAUGGGAACCCAGAACCACCUCGGCUCUAGAGGGGUCAUGAGUCUGAGGCAGUCUGAGGGAGCUGGGGCGAACCGAGAGCCCUCCUUACGGGCCCCACCCUCUUCUCUACCCUCCCUGUCCCCGGCCCGCCCUGCGCCCCCUCCCAACCCCAGGAGGUGGCAGGGUGACCACCCCCCAGAAGUAGUCUUUAAACGUAUGCACCAGAACAACUCAACUGAGGUUCCCCCUUCUGGGGUCUAUGUGGGAUUGUAUCAGGCUGAUGGCACUAACCAGCACACAAACCAGGAUACAGUACCUAUUUUUACUUCCUCUUCCAUUAUGCUUGUAACGUUAGUAGUUGUGAUUGCUUCUACUCUCACAUUACAGAAGCCUGACCAGAGAGCUUUACACAGGACCUGUUUUUGUCAUUUACUAAAUCCUUUUAUUGUUAGUCCAGCUGUCACAAACUGCCAAGAAGGACCCAGGCAUUUUCUUCCCUCUGCUGGUCUUAGUGGAACAGCUUUUAUGUGCAUGGGUAUCUUCUUUCUAUUACAAAAAAGCUGCUGUGGCUCCAGACAUCUCUUCAGCAUGCCAGAGAGGAAGAUGGAAAUGGGAAAGAAACAGGUAUGCAUGUCACCUGGGGCUGAGGCUGGAGCGAUGGCUCAGUGGCUAAGGGCACUGGCUGCUCUUGCAGCAGAUCCAGAUUCCAAUCCCAGCACCCACACGGUGAUUUAUAACUGCCGGUAACUCCAGUUCCAUGGGAUAUGAUGCUCUCUUCUGACUUCUGAGGACACCAGGCAUGCUCGUGGUGAACAGACAUACAGACAAAAUAGUCAUCACACAAUCUAAAAGAAAUAAAUCUUGGUAACUCUUUUUACAAAGUAUGAUCUUUUGAUUUCUAGGAAGACUUUCUGUGGUAAAAAUGUAUCUCACAGGAAAUGUGCCACUGCGAACACCUGGCACUUUCUCGUGCAACCACUGCCAAGCUCUAGAACAUUCCCAUCAGACCAAGAGCAAGCCACACACAGGAAGUAGCCAGUUCCCAAUCCCUUGGCCUUUCAUCUGUUUCUGUUGAUGAUAUUUCACAUCAACAAGACACAAUACUGCCACCCUGUGCCUUUGCUUCCACUCAGCACGCCAACGUUGAGGUAGCUGUGACAGUACCCGACCUCUUUUUGUGACUGAGUAAUUCUCCAUUGAAUGGAUGGCUAUACCUCAGUUCAGUAUUAGUCUGCUCAUUCACAGACAGGCAUUUAUUUGAGUUGUUUUUACCUGUUAGCUAUUGGGAAAGUUCACAUGUGAAUUCCGUUUGCCCACUUACUUUCAAUUCUGAAAUAAAUAAAAUUCCAUUUUGUCCCAAGCAGCUCCUGGGUCUGAUGUGUGGCAUUGAGACCUGCGGUUCUGUUCCCUUGCUGCCUGUUACCUGUUCAAAGAACAAAACGAACACCUAAACCGAGUCUCUGAUGCGACUGUCCAGGAAAAAAUGGCAACAGCCCAGAUGCUGUGCUAGGCCACCACUUGUUGCUGAGCUGGCAGCUUCGAUAGGGAAUGAGGAGAAGGAGGAAGAGGAGGCACAGUGCAGCCCAGCUCUGCAUCAGCACCAACCCUUCCAGUUUAGGAAAAGGCUGACUGAGAAAGGAAACUGCAUUGAGGAGGAAAUCAAGAGCUUUCCUCUGAGUGAAAGGUUUCAACUCUGAAGUGUCUGUUAAACAUCAGAGUCAAGGUUGUGGAUCAUCAACUCUGAUAACAGAUCUGGAAGUCAAGCACUAGUCUGUACUGGAGACAGAAUCUAUGGGCAAGUGGCAUUUAAAGUCAGUUUAUAUUCAAAGUCAUGAAACUUUGAUUUCCAGUGGAUUGUGAUUUCCAGUGGAGUAGACCCAUCCUGAAGACCAAGGCCUGGGAUGUCCUGAGGCUUAGGAAUUGGAUAACCCAAAGAUAGAUGAACAAAAGAGUCUGAACAGGGACAGAAGGAGACAGGAACAAACCCUGGGAGUCAGUGUUUGGGACGUCCAGGGUAGAGAGCUUUACAAGAAAGAGGAAGAGAAGACUGUCCUGAGAUGUGGAGACAAAAGAUUCAAGAGUUCAAGGUCAACCUCAGCUUUGUGACAAGUUCAAGG